AGUGAACGCUGGCGGUAGGCCUAACACAUGCAAGUCGAACGGCAGCACAGUAAGAGCUUGCUCUUACGGGUGGCGAGUGGCGGACGGGUGAGGAAUACAUCGGAAUCUACUUUUUCGUGGGGGAUAACGUAGGGAAACUUACGCUAAUACCGCAUACGACCUACGGGUGAAAGCAGGGGAUCUUCGGACCUUGCGCGAUUGAAUGAGCCGAUGUCGGAUUAGCUAGUUGGCGGGGUAAAGGCCCACCAAGGCGACGAUCCGUAGCUGGUCUGAGAGGAUGAUCAGCCACACUGGAACUGAGACACGGUCCAGACUCCUACGGGAGGCAGCAGUGGGGAAUAUUGGACAAUGGGCGCAAGCCUGAUCCAGCCAUACCGCGUGGGUGAAGAAGGCCUUCGGGUUGUAAAGCCCUCUUGUUGGGAAGGAAAAGCAGCAGGUUAAUACCCCGCUGUUCUGACGGUACCCAAAGAAUAAGCACCGGCUAACUUCGUG
rnacentral:rRNA from 1 species